UAAAAGAAGAAAUGUCAACAAAUUGGCUAAACAGUCUAUGCUUUUAGUGUGAAACGUCUGCUCCCAACUGGUUUCCUUUCCUGCGCUUCAGAAACAGAUUAAAGAUGGAGGAGGAGGCCCUUCGAACCUAUUAUACCAGAAUGUUUUUAAGUGUCCGGAGCAAGCUUUCCAAAAGCUCUCCAACGUGCCUCCCACGCCAAGAGAGAGAGAAACAUAUAAAACACAGAGAGGAGGGGGGAAGCCUCGUUUCCCAGCCCAAUGCACAAGACCGGACCGAAGAAAACCCGAUUGGAUUUGGCAAACAAGUUGUAAGAGUGGAGGAUAUGGCGAGUGAUCACAGACGGUACAGCGUCCCACUUUCUGGAAAGCCGAACCGAGAGAGAUAUGCAGGGAAGAGUGACCUAACCUCCCACAAUCUCAUGUCUCAAGGCCCCGAAAACCAGCUGGUCCCCACUCGACUUGUUUCAUUGCUAAGGCACAAGACGUUGGUGCAGGAGAUGAGACGGGCUUUGGAGGUCGAACUACACUGCCCUUCUCUCUGUACUGCAUGUGAAGAGGCCCGGGCUUCACUGGCCUUGGACGCUUUUAUCAGGAGAAAGAAGACACAACUUGAUGCCGAAGGACGUCAGCAUUACUAACCAAUGGGGCGUGGCAGUUAACCCAGUUUACCGGAUCCUUGUCAAUCAAUUAUUUUUAAUUAAUGAAAUAAUAUUUAAGGCAUUUCACUAUUGUGUUACAGGACAGCAUGUGCUUUUUGGGAGGGUUGGCGCAGAGCCUUGCCAAAACCUUUCUAUGCCACUAUGAUUUCAGGAGGGAGUACUAGGCAGUGAUAUGCAGGUCACAGCAACCUGUGGUUGCCAUGGCAACAAAUCAGGAACACACGGUUGCCCUGACAACAGAUGAGAUGAGGGGUGACCCUGACAAAAAACGCAACAGGAACUCAUUUUGCAAGACCUUGCUGUCCUUUUCAGAUAGCUGCAGACAUCACAGGCACAGAACUAAUACGAUGAGGGACGGCCUGUGCGGAGUGAAUCCGACAAAGCACUUUACUUUAUUUUAUUGGAGGCACAUAGAGAAUGUUACGUAUAGUGGGUUGUAUAUCAAAUUUGGGAUUUAAAUGUAACAUCUACAGCCUGGACUCCUGCUGGAGAUAUAAUUGUAACACUGUGGAAUGUCAACAAACGUCAUCUACAAAUCAUUUGAGUACAAAACAGCCAUUUAUUUUUUUUUGUAUUGUAUUAAAGUUUUAACACACAACACCA